rnacentral:lncRNA from 1 species
GUUGCCAAACUUGAUACUGGAUUCACAGCUCCUGCUUCUGAUACGUCUUAUUCGCCUCAAUUGUCAACUAAGGCGUCCCGCUGUUACCCAGAAUCGUUACAUUCUGCACAUUCAUCCAAUUUGGCCUUACAUCAGCCUAUAGGUACUCCGAGAGCAGUUAGCACCGAAGAUAUUACCAGGAAAACAUUAUGUUGCACGUCGACCAUGUGAUAAACGACAAUCGACCUUAUUUGGCGAUAUCGCAGGGUCGACAGGCUAAGCGAAGAACGAACAAACGCCUUUUCGCUGUAAUGUGAACUUGGACUACUUCGGAAGGCCGCUGCUGAUACUGGUGGGAUGGGCCAUGAAGUAUAUGACUGGUAUAUGGAAAUACCGUGUUCCUUAUUUUUAGUGUGCAACAAACCAUAAAAUAAAUAUGUUUGCAUGUUAUUUUUGCUAGAUUUACUUAUUUUGGUUGGUUUUCAAGCUACUUCGACAAAAGUACGUCUAAUGCGAACGAAUUCAAUAUUUCCUUAAAAAAUUUGCUUUAAUAACUCGGCUUGUAAAUUUUUCUCUUAAAGAAUGGAACUUAAGGACAUUUAAGAAUGUGUAUGAUGCGUCUUGGUUCGGAUGUCUAUUUUAGUAUAAAUACUUUUAGUUUUAAAAUAUAAUAUUUUAGUAUAAAUACCUUUAGUUGUUAUUUCUUUCUAAAAUUAUUACUACUUUGGUGUGCAUCUUAUCUUAUUUAGUUAUUACAAAGUAUAAAAAUAU